UUGAACGCUGGCGGCAUGCCUUACACAUGCAAGUCGAACGGUAGAGGGGCAACCCUUGAGAGUGGCGGACGGGUGAGUAAUAUAUCGGAACGUGCCCAGUCGUGGGGGAUAACGCAGCGAAAGCUGCGCUAAUACCGCAUACGAUCUAUGGAUGAAAGCGGGGGAUCGCAAAGACCUCGCGCGAUUGGAGCGGCCGAUAUCAGAUUAGGUAGUUGGUGGGGUAAAAGCCCAC
rnacentral:rRNA from 1 species